GUCCCAAGCAUGCCUGGUGGUCUGCGACGGUGUCCAGGAGGAGUCCCAUGACAGUGUCCUUGUAAGAGACAGAAGAGGAGAAGACACAGAGGGAGGCCACGUGAGGAUGGAGGAAGAAUGAGAGGGACAGGACCACAAGCUAAGGAACCGGGGCCCCCAGGAGCUGGGAGAGGCAGGAAAGAUCCCCCUGAGCCCUCAGAGGAGCCUGGCUCUGCCGACACCCUGAUUUCGGACCUCUGGCCUCCAGAACUGCGAUCGAAUAAAUGUCUGUUGUUUUAAGUCCCCCAGGCUGUGGUCAUCUGUGAGUCCGCAGAACUGACUUGGGGACCUUGGGUGGCAGCAGCUCCCCUGCACACGGUCCCACGGGUCCAGCGCUGCCCACACUCUGUCCCUCCCAAAGGCAGCCCGGGUGAUGAGGGCCGACAGGGUGCUGUGGCCAAGGCCGUGUCAGCGUGCAACAUGGAGGGCCCGAGGCUGCUCUUGAACAACACCCACUGCCUGACCCCAAAGGCACCGUCAUAAGGC
rnacentral:lncRNA from 1 species